AACGAACGCUGGCGGCGUGCCUAACACAUGCAAGUCGAGCGCGAAUGGAGCAAUCCUAGUAGAGCGGCGCACGGGUGCGUAACACGUGGGUAAUCUGCCCUGAAGCCUGGGAUAACCUGCCGAAAGGCAAGCUAAUACCGGAUAAGCCUACGGUCCCCUCGGGGACUGAAGGAAAAGGUGGCCUCUGCAUGCAAGCUAUCACUUCAGGAUGAGCCCGCGGCCCAUCAGCUCGUUGGCGGGGUAACGGCCCACCAAGGCAACGACGGGUAGCUGGUCUGAGAGGACGAUCAGCCACACUGGAACUGAGACACGGUCCAGACUCCUACGGGAGGCAGCAGUGGGGAAUUUUGCGCAAUGGGCGAAAGCCUGACGCAGCAACGCCGCGUGUGUGAUGAAGGUCUUCGGAUUGUAAAGCACUUUCGACCGGGACGAAAACCUGCUGGCCAAUAUCCAGCAGCUUGACGGUACCGGGAGAAGAAGCACCGGCUAACUCUGUGCCAGCCGCCGCCGUAA
rnacentral:rRNA from 1 species